rnacentral:rRNA from 1 species
GUGCCAGCCGCCGCGGUAAUACGUAGGGGGCGAGCGUUGUCCGGAAUUAUUGGGCGUAAAGCGCGCGCAGGCGGCUGUUUAAGUCUGGUGUUUAAUCCUGGGCUCAACCCCGGGUCGCACUGGAAACUGGACGGCUUGAGUGCAGAAGAGGAGAGUGGAAUUCCACGUGUAGCGGUGAAAUGCGUAGAGAUGUGGAGGAACACCAGUGGCGAAGGCGGCUUUCUGGUCUGUAACUGACGCUGAGGCGCGAAAGCGUGGGGAGCAAACAGGAUUAGAUACCCCGGUAGUCC